AGAGUUUGAUCAUGGCUCAGGAUGAACGCUGGCGGCGUGCCUAACACAUGCAAGUCGAACGGGAAUGUAACGGAACGAGGAUUUAUCUGAGGGAAGAUGCAUUUUAGUGGCGGACGGGUGAGUAACGCGUGGGCAACCUACCGUAUACAGGGGGAUAACACUUAGAAAUAGGUGCUAAUACCGCAUAAGCGCACAGCAGUGCAUGCUGAAGUGUGAAAAGCCGAGACGGUAUACGAUGGGCCCGCGUCUGAUUAGCCAGUUGGCAGGGUAACGGCCUACCAAAGCGACGAUCAGUAGCCGGCCUGAGAGGGCGGACGGCCACAUUGGGACUGAGACACGGCCCAGACUCCUACGGGAGGCAGCAGUGGGGGAUAUUGCACAAUGGGGGGAACCCUGAUGCAGCGACGCCGCGUGAGUGAAGAAGUAAUUCGUUAUGUAAAGCUCUAUCAGCAGGGAAGAAGAAAUGACGGUACCUGAGUAAGAAGCCCCGGCUAACUACGUGCCAGCAGCCGCGGUAAUACGUAGGGGGCAAGCGUUAUCCGGAUUUACUGGGUGUAAAGGGAGCGUAGACGGCGAUGCAAGCCAGAUGUGAAAGCCCGCGGCUCAACUGCGGGACUGCAUUUGGAACUGUAUGGCUGGAGUGCAGGAGA
rnacentral:rRNA from 1 species